rnacentral:rRNA from 1 species
UACGGAGGGGGCUAGCGUUGUUCGGAAUUACUGGGCGUAAAGCGCACGUAGGCGGCUUUGUAAGUUAGAGGUGAAAGCCCGGGGCUCAACUCCGGAAUUGCCUUUAAGACUGCAUCGCUAGAAUUGUGGAGAGGUAAGUGGAAUUCCGAGUGUAGAGGUGAAAUUCGUAGAUAUUCGGAAGAACACCAGUGGCGAAAGCGAUCACCUGGGGUUAUUCUGACGCUGAGGAGCGAAAGCUAGGGGAGCAAACGGG